rnacentral:rRNA from 1 species
GACGAACGCUGGCGGCGUGCUUAACACAUGCAAGUCGAACGGAAAGGCCCUGCUUUUGUGGGGUGCUCGAGUGGCGAACGGGUGAGUAACACGUUAGUAACCUGCCCUUGACUUUGGGAUAACUUCAGGAAACUGGGGCUAAUACCGGAUAGGAGCUCCUGCUGCAUGGUGGGGGUUGGAAAGUUUCGGCGGUUGGGGAUGGACUCGCGGCUUAUCAGCUUGUUGGUGGGGUAGUGGCUUACCAAGGCUUUGACGGGUAGCCGGCCUGAGAGGGUGACCGGCCGCAUUGGGACUGAGAUACGGCCCAGACUCCUACGGGAGGCAGCAGUGGGGAAUAUUGCACAAUGGGCGGAAGCCUGAUGCAGCAACGCCGCGUGCGGGAUGACGGCCUUCGGGUUGUAAACCGCUUUCGCCUGUGACGAAGCGUGAGUGACGGUAAUGGGUAAAGAAGCACCGGCUAACUACGUG